rnacentral:rRNA from 1 species
AUGCCCUUUGGUCUCGAGGAUCACCAUUUGGUGGGGUUAGGGUCACACCCGAAGUCAUAUUGGAGAAUUGAGCGGAACUACUUCCAUGUGCACUCUUUUCUCGGGUCAGGAAGCCCUGUUUUUAAGCAGGAAGACCUCUUCAUCAUCAUUAUUGGGGUAUGGGCCCUAAAUCAUUGGAAAAGACAGUUUUAUUUAGGGAAUUUACACGAUAUCGCCUCCUUCUGUACUAACAAGGGAAUGGAUGAGUUCACUUAA